GUUGACGCGAAAGGAAAGUCAAACUUCCAGUGCACAGCAAUCCCAUCCACCCCAGGCUUUACCAGCUGCGGGGCUCCGGUGCAAAAGUGCAUCGGCGAAGGGGAAGAAUAGAGGCAUACAAAACUAUUUUCAGCUUCACAUCUGUCAGUGCAAGUCUGACACCACAAGAUGACAAGCCGGAGAUAUGCAGCACCUGGGAUUGGCGUUUGUCCAAGAGCCCCGCUGCUGCCAGAUCCUGAACUGGAUCACAUCAGCUGUGCAGCGAGAGCCCUUUCAGAUGUCCGAUAUGCAUUUAUUGUUGGAUAGAUACAACUUAGUGAAGAGAAGAGUAAAAAAAAUCGAUUCUAGAGCUCAAGAAAGUAAGGUGGAGGGAUAGAGAGAAGGACCAUAGCCACUCCAGUCUUUGUUAAAGACCGCUAAGGGAAAACCUGACUGACAAUUUCCAAAUCAUAAAGAUGAAGUUCAGUGAAGCAGAAAAUGGGAACAAGACAGGAAAAAGGGCAGAAGCUAGUUUUCCACGGGCAUGUAAAGUUCUGAUUUGAACGGUGUGGACUAGGUCACCAAGAUGUGCUGCGGGAGGAAGAGACGCUCUCUAUGGCUAUUGCUGACAUGGGCUCACUCGGGGCAGAGGGCAAUGAAAUCCUCUCUCUGAUCUGCGCUUCCAGCCUCACGGAGACGGCUGGGAUCUCUCCCAGCUUUCCCGUCGCUUGUUUAUGGUUCCAGAGCAACACAUGGGCGACCGCGGCGUUAACACCUGAGUGGGAAGCAGGAUCGGAGCAGCUUGUGUUGGAAGUUUAAUGACAGUGCCCGCUUUCACUAACUCCUGCUGGUCCCACCAGACACACAGACACCUGUAAUAAAUCUCGUUUCCGCGGAGAAAGAUGAAAGAUGUUGCACGACAUCAAGGCGUUUCAUGCAAAAGGAGCGAACAAUGGAGCACGAAGGCCGGUGUCUCUCUCCUGCACAGAGAACUCCUUUGUGUGUUUAAUUAGGAGGUAAUUACUGAGACACACAGAGCCUGGAGCCAUAGAACUGCAGUGGGGGGAGAGAAGAUUUUUCUUCAGAAGAGAGAGAGGGGGGUGUGUGGAGAGGGAGCUGAGGACGGAGAAUUUAAGACUGCAAAGAGAGAGGGAUGGAACGGAGAGACGCUGCCAGUUUUUGGAAAGAAGGGAGAGAAAAAGUGCGAUGGACAGAGAUGGGAGUGGGGACAGAGGAUGGAGUGUUCGGCAACGGGGGAGAAGAGGGGGGAGUUAAAAACGGGUCUUCAGUGUCUAAGACGGUGAAAGAGAGCGACAGGGGUGUCAGAGGGCCAGCUCUUUGAAGGUUCUCCCUGGACCCCUAUCUCCACGAUCGGGAGAGGAGUGGGGGAGUGAAAGAGACCACACACCUGUCUCAGGUGUAACGGAGCUUGUUCGGAUACGGUGACGUCAGUGCCCUCCCUGCGCGUAGCAGGGACCUCCACUGCCUGGGCUGAGGGAGGUCUCCUUUAGCUCACCCGGCUGGUUCCCCGUUGCGUUACGCCGGAGACCCAGUUCGCGCCCCAGGUGCUGCAGGACGAAACGGGUGGCGGAGGGCACGAGCCCAUGCCGAACCGCGACGGUCACGCAAGUCUUGUGUGUACACUUGUGUAUUUGUGUUAUAUGUGUGCAGUAUGUACACCAGUGUGUGUAUAAACUGCGUAUGUGUAAGCCAUGUGUAGGUACACCAGUGUGUGUGUACACCAAUGUCUUUGUGUUAGGACCAAUGUCUUUUGCGUGUACCAGUAUGUGUGUAAACUGUGUGUGUAUUCCAGGGUGUGUGUGUAAACUGUGUGUAUAUACCAGUAUAUCUGUAAACUGUGUGUGUGUGCACUAGUUUGUGUGUACACUAGUGUGUGUACUCCAGUGUUUGUGUGUACAAUAGUGUG